GGUUGCUGUGGUGGUCGAUGAACUCCUUCAUGAGCAAGGCGCCAAGCACAUUGUCCAAGUGGGGUUGGGAGAUGAUGAUCAGGGUAUUGAGGAUGACUUCUCUGCAUGGAGGGAGCUUCUUUGGCCAGAGUUGGAU